AGUGAACGCUGGCGGUAGGCCUAACACAUGCAAGUCGAACGGCAGCACAGUAAGAGCUUGCUCUUACGGGUGGCGAGUGGCGGACGGGUGAGGAAUACAUCGGAAUCUACUUUUUCGUGGGGGAUAACGUAGGGAAACUUACGCUAAUACCGCAUACGACCUACGGGUGAAAGCAGGGGUUCUUCGGACCUUGCGCGAUUGAAUUAGCCGAUGUCGGAUUAGCUAGUUGGCAGGGUAAAGGCCCACCAAGGCGACGAUCCGUAGCUGGCCUGAGAGGAUGAUCAGCCACACUGGAACUGAGACACGGUCCAGACUCCUACGGGAGGCAGCAGUGGGGAAUAUUGGACAAUGGGCGCAAGCCUGAUCCAGCAAUACCGCGUGGGUGAAGAAGGCCUUCGGGUUGUAAAGCCCUUUUGUUGGGAAAGAAAAGCAGCAGGUUAAUACCUCGCUGUUCUGACGGUACCCAAAGAAUAAGCACCGGCUAACUUCGUG
rnacentral:rRNA from 1 species